CUCCACAGAAACCUGUUUUGAAUUUGAAAGCCAUCCCUGUCUCGCCUUGCCUCGCUCGGACACCUCAUCGACUCUCUGAUUUUCUGGACACAACCUGGACUACAACCUUGUCUGCAAGCUGAAUUAAGACGAGGUGUCCAUGCUGUUCCAGAUGUCCAGGGAGUAAUUUCUGCCAUGAAUCUCUUUGUGGGGCGGUGUUGAUCCCUUGACCCCCUGACUGAAGGAGCCAGAACGAGGCAUUCUCAAGGAAAGCAAAAUAAGAAAAAUCAAGCUCCAAAAUAAAAACCGGCCUUUCUUCUUGUGGGUGUGUUGCGCCAAAGCCGCUAAAGCAUCACUUGUCCACAUUUUAUCCUCAACUUUGCUGCUCCACGAGAGCCGCCCCUUGACCACGCCCCCCACCCAGACUCGCGCGCGCUGACACAGUGCGUGCAUAUAGUGGUUUAUUUCUGGACUUUU